GCCGGGCGCGGUGGCGCGCGCCUGUAGUCCCAGCUACUCGGGAGGCUGAGGCUGGAGGAUCGCUUGAGCUCAGGAGUUCUGGGCUGCAGUGCGCUAUGCCGAUCGGGUAUCCGCACUAAGUUCGGCAUCAAUAUGGUGACCUCCCGGGAGCGGGGGACCACCAGGUUGCCUAAGGAGGGGUGAACUGGCCCAGGUCGGAAACGGAGCAGGUCAAAACUCCCGUGCUGAUCAGUAGUGGGAUCGCGCCUGUGAAUAGCCACUGUACUCCAGCCUGGGCAACAUAGCGAAACCCCGUCUCU
rnacentral:SRP_RNA from 1 species